ACAUCCUUAACCACCAAAAUCUUGGCUUUAGCCAAAUAAUGCAGGGACAAAUCUGUGACUGCAUCUCUCAAGAUGCUCUUUUGAAUCAACAAUACAUUGCACCCAGUUGCCUUAAUCUUCUUAAUCAUACCCAAAAUAUAAUUUCUCUCUUCCUUCAAAAUCCUAUCCAUUUGUGUAUAGUCAGAGACCACAAUGCUCUGCUCUAUAUCAGUCUU
rnacentral:misc_RNA from 1 species